GCCUAUGUGCACUCCCUACUCGCACAUAGUCGGGUCAUCAUCAUCACACAAGAUUAUUCAUACACACACAUAUAUACAUAUAUCAACACAGUAUAGGAGCACAUAGGUCCAUUCUUUUACACAUUUCACAUUUUCACAACAUCAAAAUAUUUUGUCAAAGGCUUGUUCCCAAGGCACACGUUUUUAAAGACAAGUUAGAAUAAAUCAUUCAAUGUUUCAUACCAAUACAAUUAUGUCUCCCAAAACGAUUUUUGAAAUGCAAGUUCAC
rnacentral:lncRNA from 1 species